rnacentral:lncRNA from 1 species
UAGUCAUUCAAAUACGAUAACUUUUGGCAAACUUACAAGAUGUUUCUUAUCAUAAUGCAAGAAAAUAAUAUUUCAACUUUCCCACUUGCUUGUGGAGUUGAGUGUAUAACACUGUUCAACCUUGUCCGAGAAGUGUUAAAGAUGUGCAAAGGUUUGUUCUUAUUUUUAUUUUGGACUUGUCUGGUCAAGGGAUUUAACGGUGUGUGUCUAAGGGUGUCAGCAUUUGUCCCCCUGUUCAACAUGGGCUAACAGGCCUAUAAAACAAAGCACAUAUAACAUGGUAACUUAUAUUUCAUGUCCUGGGCAUGAAUUGUUUGUGUAUUAUAGUGUCCGAAAUAUCUCGUCCCAUGACCAAGGGUGCAGAUACGUGGUAAAAUGUUGGAUUUAUUUUUUAUUUUUUAUUUUUUGGGACAGGGUACUAACUACUAAUAUGACUUCUAAAUUUGGUAAUAAUCUAUUUCUAGUGACAUUAGCUCAAAUGGUUUAUGGUUUAGGACAAUAUAAAGCUCAAUGUGAAAUCUCUCAAGCUUCACCAAUAUUUUAGCUUCUAUGUUGUUUAACAUCAGAACGUGACAAAAAUUCUGUAGCAGCUGGUAUAUUUAUUGGCUAAAAAAUUCCCUUUCAUGAAAGUCUUGGGAGUGUUGGAGAGUGUGUUCGAAUCUUAUCGGAAAACAUGUAACUUUAUGUUAGAUUGUCGUUGGAGAUGAUCUUAUAGCCAAAUUUCUAUAUUGAAAUCCUUAUAAAACUGCAGAAAGAUAAUGGUAACAUACAAAAAAUGCAUUUAUAUAUCAAUAGAGACAUUGAAUUCCACUUCUAAAAUCAAUAGAUCUCUCGAAAUACUCUUUUUUUCUAGCCCCAUUAGUUAAAUGAUUUGUGACUUGGGGGGUCAAACAUAAAGCUUACUGUGAAAUCUUCUUUUUGUAGGUCUUCAUUAGCCUUUCUAGUGUAUGUAGUAUGUACUGAGCACAUGGAAACAACCAUGAACACUACUGCUAUAAUUAUUUGUAUUUAUCAUUAUAGUGAUUCUGGAAGUAGACAUGAUUUAAAAAGUUCAUUUCCUCAAUUGUACAAAAUAAGUAGCUUCCUGUAUUGCAAAAAUUGCCAUGAUUUUUAGUAAAGAGAAAACCGCCUUGCUAUGAAAUAAUGUAUUGAUCCUGCCACGAAAUACUUUUUUUUGAGUGACUUCUGUGAAGGGUCAUUUAUUAUUUAUUUAUUUAUUAUUGUUAUUAUUAUUAUUAUUUUUUGUGUGUGGGUGGGUGGGCUUUCUGAAAGUACCUCAUUGCUAUGCUCCCCAUUUUCCUUUUCCAUUUGGUUCGACAUUUCUUGCAAGACCAUAUGGUAAUUACUUCUAGAGCCUUUAUAUAUCUUGAAAGUAUAACCAUCUGUGAAUGAUUAUUGAUGUUACAUGCUAAACUAUCACGAUUCCAGGGUGUAUCAAGAAGUUUAAACAAGGAAUGUGUUGCUAGAUCAGAACCUUCUAAGGUGCGUUUUUUGUUCUUUAAAUAAAUCAGGAAAUGUUUCUUCCCAUUUCCUAUGACAUUAGGCAUGGCAAUGUGCUUUCCUUCUUUGUUGUUCAGUUGAUUACCUAACUUGCAUUUACCGUGUUGACAGUGUUUCUUUCCUCAAGAAUUUAUAAAAAGUAUAAAG